rnacentral:miRNA from 1 species
UCAUAUUGUUUCUUUCU